rnacentral:rRNA from 1 species
UGAAUGUCCUAGGGGGUAUUGCACUUACCGAAGACUAUCAAACUCCGAAUGCCGUUUUCUUUUACUUGGGAGUCAGACUGUGGGUGAUAAGAUUCAUAGUCAAAAGGGCAACAGCCCAGAUCGUCAGCUAAGGUCCCUAAAUGUACGUUAAGUGGUAAAGGAUGUGGGAUUGCACAGACAACCAGGAUGUUGGCUUAGAAGCAGCCACUCAUUUAAAGAGUGCGUAAUAGCUCACUGGUCGAGUGAUCCUGCGCCGAAAAUUUCCGGGGCUAAAACGUACUACCGAAGCUACGGCAUCAUUUAUGAUGGGUAGGGGAGCUUCGUAUGCAGGCUGAAGCAUGACCGUAAGGACAUGUGGACAGUAUACGAGUGAGAAUGUUGGCAUGAGUAGCGAGACGUGGGUGAGAAUCCCACGGGCCGUAAACCCAAGGUUUCCAGGGGAAGGUUCGUCCGCCCUGGGUUAGUCGGGACCUAAGCCGAGGCCGAAAGGCGUAGGUGAUGGACAACAGGUUGAUAUUCCUGUACCGCCAAUAAGCGUUUGAGAGAUGGAGUGACACAGUAGGAUAAGCUAACCGUACUGUUGGUUAUGUACGGCUAAGCAUUGAGGCAGUCUAAAUAGGCAAAUCCGUUUAGACAAUGCUAGGAUGUGAUGGGGAAGCCCUUCGGGGCGAAGUAGCUGAUUUCACACUGUCAAGAAAAGCUUCUAUCGAGUUUAAAGGCGCCCGUACCGUAAACCGACACAGGUGGGUGAGGAGAGUAUCCUAAGGCCAGCGAGAGAACUAUUGUUAAGGAACUCGGCAAAAUGACCCCGUAACUUAGGGAGAAGGGGUGCCUGUCUAUGACAGGCCGCAGAGAAUAGGCCCAAGCGACUGUUUACCAAAAACACAGGUUUCUGCUAAGUCGCAAGACGAUGUAUAGGAGCUGACGCCUGCCCGGUGCUGGAAGGUUAAGGGGAUCUGUUAGAGCAAUCGAAGCAGUGAACUUAAGCCCCAGUAAACGGCGGCCGUAACUAUAACGGUCCUAAGGUAGCGAAAUUCCUUGUCGGGUAAGUUCCGACCCGCACGAAAGGCGUAACGAUUUGGGCACUGUCUCAACAAUAGACUCGGUGAAAUUGUAAUCCCGGUGAAGAUGCCGGGUACCUGCGACAGGACGGAAAGACCCCAUGGAGCUUUACUGUAGCUUGACGUUGGGUCUUGGUACUACAUGUACAGGAUAGGUGGGAGACUAUGAAGCAUGGACGCCAGUCUGUGUGGAGUCAUCCUUGGGAUACCACCCUUGUAGUACUGGGAUCCUAACCAUAGGCCUUGAAUCAGGUCUUGGAACACCGUCAGGUGGGCAGUUUGACUGGGGCGGUCGCCUCCUAAAAAGUAACGGAGGCGCUCAAAGGUUUCCUCAGCACGGUCGGAAAUCGUGCGAAGAGUGUAAAGGCAAAAGGAAGCUUGAUUGCAAGACAUACAGGUCGAGCAAGGACGAAAGUCGGACUUAGUGAUCCGGUGGUACCGCAUGGAAGGGCCAUCGCUCAACGGAUAAAAGCUACCCUGGGGAUAACAGGCUUAUCUCCCCCAAGAGUCCACAUCGACGGGGAGGUUUGGCACCUCGAUGUCGGCUCAUCACAUCCUGGGGCUGUAUUCGGUCCCAAGGGUUCGGCUGUUCGCCGAUUAAAGUGGUACGCGAGCUGGGUUCAGAACGUCGUGAGACAGUUCGGUCCCUAUCCGUCGCAGGCGUAGGAAAUUUGAGAAGACCUGUCCUUAGUACGAGAGGACCGGGAUGGACGUACCUCUGGUGUACCAGUUGUUCUGCCAAGGGCAUGGCUGGGUAGCUAUGUACGGAAUGGAUAAGCGCUGAAAGCAUCUAAGCGCGAAGCCAACUUCAAGAUAAGAUUUCCCACCGUAAGGGUAAGACCCCAGGAAGACUACCUGGUUGAUAGGUCGAAGGUGUAAGUGCAGUAAUGUAUUUAGCUUAUCGAUACUAAUAGGUCGAGGACUUGACCAA